rnacentral:rRNA from 1 species
ACGAACGCUGGCGGCGUGCUUAACACAUGCAAGUCGAACGGAAAGGCCCUGCUUUUGUGGGGUGCUCGAGUGGCGAACGGGUGAGUAACACGUGAGUAACCUGCCCUUGACUUUGGGAUAACUUCAGGAAACUGGGGCUAAUACCGGAUAGGAGCUCCUGCUGCAUGGUGGGGGUUGGAAAGUUUCGGCGGUUGGGGAUGGACUCGCGGCUUAUCAGCUUGUUGGUGGGGUAGUGGCUUACCAAGGCUUUGACGGGUAGCCGGCCUGAGAGGGUGACCGGCCACAUUGGGACUGAGAUACGGCCCAGACUCCUACGGGAGGCAGCAGUGGGGAAUAUUGCACAAUGGGCGGAAGCCUGAUGCAGCAACGCCGCGUGCGGGAUGACGGCCCUCGGGUUGUAAACCGCUUUCGCCUGUGACGAAGCGUGAGUGACGGUAAUGGGUAAAGAAGCACCGGCUAACUACGUG